GACCCAGUAGCGGAUGGUCCGCGUCUGCUUGCAUUAUGACGUUAAAUGUUUAUAAGCAGAAAGAGCCCGUUCGAGUCGGGCCUGGGUCA